GACGAACGCUGGCGGCGUGCUUAACACAUGCAAGUCGAACGGAAAGGCCCUGCUUUUGUGGGUUGCUCGAGUGGCGAACGGGUGAGUAACACGUGAGUAACCUGCCCUUGACUUUGGGAUAACUUCAGGAAACUGGGGCUCAUACCGGAUAGGAGCUCCUGCUGCAUGGUGGGGGUUGGAAAGUUUCGGCGGUUGGGGAUGGACUCGCGGCUUAUCAGCUUGUUGGUGGGGUAGUGGUUUACCAAGGCUUUGACGGGUAGCCGGCCUGAGAGGGUGACCGGCCACAUUGGGACUGAGAUACGGCGCAGACGGGUACGGGAGGCAGCAGUGGGGAAUAUGGCACAAUGGGCGGAAGCCUGAUGCAGCAACGCCGCGUGCGGGAUGACGGCCUUCGGGGUGUAAACCGCUGUCGCAUGUGACGAAGCGGGAGUGACGGUAAUGGGUAAAGAAGCACCGGCUAACUACGUG
rnacentral:rRNA from 1 species